GAUCCUGGCUCAGGAUGAACGCUGGCGGCGUGCAUAACACAUUCAAGUCGAACGGUGAAGUCCCUUCGGGGACGGAACAGUGGCGGACGGGUGAGUAACGCGUGAGCAACCUGCCAUACAGUGGGGGAUAACACAGGGAAACUUGUGCUAAUACCGCAUGACACAUCGGGAUCGCAUGGUUUUUGAUGUCAAAGAGCAAUUGCUGUAUGAUGGGCUCGCGUAUGAUUAGACAGUUGGCAGGGUAACGGCCUACCAAAUCAACGAUCAUUAGCCGAACUGAGAGGUUGAACGGCCACAUUGGAACUGAGAAACGGUCCAGACUCCUACGGGAGGCAGCAGUGGGGAAUAUUGGGCAAUGGGCGAAAGCCUGAACCCCAGCGACGCCGCGUGAGGGAAGAAGGUCUUCGGAUUGUAAACCUCUUUCAGCAGGGAAGAAGGAAGUGACGGUACCUGCAGAAGAAGUCACGGCUAACUACGUGCCAGCCGCCGC
rnacentral:rRNA from 1 species